GACGAACGCUGGCGGCGUGCUUAACACAUGCAAGUCGAACGGAAAGGCCCUGCUUUUGUGGGGUGCUCGAGUGGCGAACGGGUGAGUAACACGUGAGUAACCUGCCCUUGACUUUGGGAUAACUUCAGGAAACUGGGGCUAAUACCGGAUAGGAGCUCCUGCUGCAUGGUGGGGGUUGGAAAGUUUCGGCGGCUGGGGAUGGACUCGCGGCUUAUCAGCUUGUUGGUGGGGUAGUGGCUUACCAAGGCUUUGACGGGUAGCCGGCCUGAGAGGGUGACCGGCCACAUUGGGACUGAGAUACGGCCCAGAAUGCUACGGGAGGCAGCAGUGGGGAGUAUUGCAGAAUGGGCGGAAGCCUGAUGCAGCAACGCCGCGUGCGGGAUGACGGCCUUCGGGUUGUAAACCGCUUUCGACUGUGACGAAGCGUGAGUGACGGUAAUGGGUAAAGAAGCACCGGCUAACUACGUG
rnacentral:rRNA from 1 species